CCUACGGGUGGCUGCAGUGAGGAAUAUUGGUCAAUGGUCGAAAGUCUGAACCAACGAAGUCGCGUGAAGGAUGACUGCUCUAUGGGUUGUAAACUUCUUUUAUAUGGGAAUAAAUCAAAGUAGUCAUACCCUCUUGUAUGUACCAUAUGAAUAAGGUUCGGCUAACUCCGUGCCAGCAGCCGCGGUAAUACGGAGGAUCCGAGCGUUGUCCGGAUUUAUUGGGUUUAAAGGGAGCGUAGGUGGAUUGUUAAGUCAGUUGUGAAAGUUUGCGGCUCAACCGUAAAAUUGCAGUUGAUACUGGCAGUCUAGAGUAUAGUAGAGGUAGGCGGAAUUCGUGGUGUAGCGGUGAAAUGCUUAGAUAUCAGGAAGAACACCGAUGGCGAAGGCAGCUUACUGGACUGCAACUGACGCUGAUGCACGAAAGUGUGGGUAUCAAACAGGAUUAGAUACCCGUGUAGUC
rnacentral:rRNA from 1 species